UUUAAAUGGAUUGUCACGACUUUUACACACAGUCAAGAGGAGAAACGGGAUCAGACGGGGACGUUUGCAUUCUAAUGCUAUUUAGAGGUGACAUCCUCAUCCAGAUCGAUGUGAUCUAG
rnacentral:lncRNA from 1 species